UACGGAGGGAGCUAGCGUUGUUCGGAAUUACUGGGCGUAAAGCGCGCGUAGGCGGCUUUGUAAGUUAGAGGUGAAAGCCCGGGGCUCAACUCCGGAACUGCCUUUAAGACUGCAUCGCUUGAAUCCGGGAGAGGUGAGUGGAAUUCCGAGUGUAGAGGUGAAAAUUCGUAGAUAUUCGGAAGAACACCAGUGGCGAAGGCGGCUCACUGGACCGGUAUUGACGCUGAGGUGCGAAAGCGUGGGGAGCAAACAGG
rnacentral:rRNA from 1 species